CUCCGUAUUUCUCUCUCUAAAAAAAAAAGCCCCCCACACAAUCAUUUCACCAAACACCUACCUACAAAUCGCAACUGGAUUUGCGUUAUCUUCUCUAGAUUUUCAUGAAUCGACGCAGUAUGGGAUUUCCUGACCCGCCGAAGCUCUCUUUAUUUUCACUUCCAAACAAGCCAAAUCAUGAGGAGCCGCCAGGGUUUCUAACACCGCCACUCAGAACCUCCGCGUCAGUGCCGUUUCAGUGGGAGGAAGCACCAGGAAGGCCCAGGCCCAGUACCAUCGCCCACACGAAGCCCAAGCUCAAGAAUGCUCGGAGCUUGGACCUGCCACCCAGACUGUUAAUUAACGAGGAUAACUCGCCUACAACCGUGUUGGACGGGCCGUACAUGGGUAAAGGAGGGUGGUCGUUUAGGAGGAGCCCAUCGGAGAUUUGGGGGCCCAAGAAGGAUAGGCCAGCUGCAAUAUUUUUUGGGUCCACAAGGUGGCGGAGUUUCAAGAAGAGUACUAAGGAGGCUGUUGGGAGUAGUAGUUUUGACUACUUUUCAUCAUCAUCAUCAAUUGCUGCUGAUAAGAGCAGUACUGUUGGUUCUAAUGGUAAUCCAAAGCUGAGGAUCACAAGAAUUAGGAGAAGAACAAGUUUUAUGCGUUUCUCUGACAAAUUAACAAGGUCAAAUGUGUGGGCCAGCAUUUAUGAAAGUUUUAAGCAAGUGGUCCCAUGGAGACGUAGACAUAAUUAGAGAGUAGGAAGGAAGAAUGAUGUAUUGCCUGCGUAUGAUCGAUCUUCUUCAUCAUAAUCUAUGACCAUUUAACUAAGUGUUUGGACAUAUUCACGAGUGGGAUAUUGCGUUUUGUGCCUGCCUUAGUCUCUUCUCUUGGUUCUCUCAGCCAGCUCCAAAUCUCAACCACCCUCUUACUGUGCCCUUCCAGCAUUGUUACCUGGUUAGUCAAUCCCAAUCCCUACGUUAAUAUCCAACUUUAGACCAUUUGGCUUUACUAAAAUACAAUUUUGAUUACUACACUACACAGAUAAUGACAUUUGUUACGCGCUCAACCACAUAUACACUAAAAGUCAGUAUCU